UACGUAGGGCGCAAGCGUUGUCCGGAAUUAUUGGGCGUAAAGAGCUCGUAGGCGGUCUGUCACGUCGGAUGUGAAAGCCCGGGGCUUAACCCCGGGUCUGCAUUCGAUACGGGCAGACUAGAGUGUGGUAGGGGAGAUCGAAUUCCUGGUGUAGCGGUGAAAUGCGCAGAUAUCAGGAGGAACACCGGUGGCGAAGGCGGAUCUCUGGGCCAUUACUGACGCUGAGGAGCGAAAGCAUGGGGAGCGAACAGG
rnacentral:rRNA from 1 species